rnacentral:rRNA from 1 species
GGGGGGGGGGGGGGGGGGGGGGGGCGCGGGCGGGGGGGGCGGGGGGGGCGGGGGGGGGGGCGCGGGGGGGCGGGGGGCGGGGGAGCCGGCCCGUAGGGUCGGAGUCCCUCCCCGAAGGGGGUGCUAAUGGCGGAUACGGGCUUCGGACCAACGAUUUCUCGCCUUUGGAUGGGCCCGCGUUGGAUUAGCCAGUUGGUAGGGUAAAAGCCUACCAAGGCGACGAUCCAUAGCUGGUCCGAGAGGAUGAUCAGCCACACUGGGACUGAGACACGGCCCAGACUCCUACGGGAGGCAGCAGUGGGGAAUAUUGGACAAUGGGCGAAAGCCUGAUCCAGCAAUGCCGCGUGAGUGAUGAAGGCCUUAGGGUUGUAAAGCGCUUUUACCCGGGAUGAUAACGACAGUACCGGGAGAAUAGCGCCGGCUAACUCCGUG